rnacentral:ncRNA from 2 species
GAUUGUCCACACGGGUGCCCUCGCAAGGGCUGAGAUCAGGCUGACGCGGCCUGCGACCGUCGAACCUGUCCGGGUCAUGCCGGCGUAGGAAGUGAGAACCCUUUUGGA